rnacentral:rRNA from 1 species
AUGGACCGCGGCAUCUUCCACGCGUUCGAGCACCUCGUCGAGACCGGCGAGGUCCCGUUCCAGGAGACGGCCCCCGAGCCGUCCCGCUCCUUCUACGCGGCCAGCGAGGCGGCCGCGGCCGUGGCCCGUGCCGUGGACGCGCUCGGCCUCGCGCCUGUCCACCUCGUGCUCCACGACUCCGCCCUCGCCGCCGGCGCCGCCUUCGUGUCGGCCAACCCGGCGGCCGUGCAGAGCGUCACUCUGAUCGACGCCACCACCACCUUGCCGGCCUUCCCGGCGGCCGUUCUCGGCGUGCCGGCGCUGGGAAGGCUGGUGCUGCGGGUGCCGGCAUUGUUCAAGGGGCUGGUGCGUCUGUCCUGCGCUCGGGGGAUGGAUGCAGAGGAGGCUGACGCGCACAGGGCGGCGGUGCGGGGGCAGGGGAAGAGGGAUGCAGUGUUUGAGGCCUGGAAGGCCAUGAACCAUAGUUUUGACCUGAGAGAGUGGAGGAGCUCUUCAGAGGAGGUGAAGAGGCUGCCGAUGAUGGUUCUGUGGUCGGGUUCUUGGUCGGAUAUGUGGAUCGAUGAGGGGAAGAAGGUGACCAAGGCGUUGCCGGACGCCAAAUUCAUCUACCAUUACGGUGGCCGGUGGCCUCAGGUGGAUGCAUAUGAGGAAAUCUCAAAGUUGAUAGCAGAGUUUGUGACCAUGUUACCAACAACUGCGACAGAGCACGGGUCGGAGAAUAUGGACCAAUCAUCCGGCGAAUCAGCAGAUGCUCACAGCGAUCAUCCAGUUUCAUGA